AUGGGCUUCAGCUCAGAGAGGGAAGUCCUGCAAAUACAAGAAAUUAACAAGGAACCCCAAAUGUUCCUCCUCGGCACAGAGUGCGAAGCCUCAAAGGAAAAGAACUCAGUGGGCUUGGCCUGCUUGGUAAUUUCAAAUAAACCUUUGAAAAUUGCUUGGAAAGAAAACUCAAACUACAGGACUCAGAGGGCCUUCCAUUACAAAGAAAAGAAUGGCAAUUAUAUAAGCUGGCUCUCUUUGGGAACCUCAGAACUGAACGGCACCCACACUUGUUUCAUAGAAUACAACCCCGGAAAGAAAACUGAAAAGGCUUUCCAGUGGUCCGAGAAACAGAAUACUCAGUCCUCCCAGAAAAGCCCUCCACUUCCCCGAAUAACGGAGCACGUCACAGAAGCCACAAAAGCUAUGAGCACCAAAAGGAAUAUAGUAGAGGCCAUAGCACCCAGCAACCUCUCUGUGAACUUCCUGGCCACACCCACCCAUCCUGAGAUGUCAUCGUGGCUCAUAUGUGAGGUAUCCGGUUUCUUCCCCCAAGAUAUCCAUCUAAUAUGGCUGAAGUUCCAAAGUAAAAUGAACACUUCAUACUUUGCCACUGCAUACCCCACCCAGCAGCCUGGGGGCAACACAUUCCAGACCUGGAGUGUCCUGAGAAUACCAGUCCCUCUGAGAGCUUCGCUUAACACUUAUACAUGUGUGGUGGAACAUGAGGCCUCGCAGACCAGGCUUAAUGCCAGCAAAAGCCUGGAUAUUAGCGGCAUGGUCAACACCAUCCCCAACUUGUGCAUCAGGGAGGAGCAAAGUGACAACCACGUGGACCUAGAUGAGGAGACCGGCCUGUGGCCCACACUGUGCACCUUCGUGGCCCUCUUUCUGCUCACACUGCUCUACAGUGGCUUUGUCACUUUCAUCAAGGUGGGCCUACCACCUCCCUCUCAACCCUCCCUGGUGGUGGCAUGUAAGAUGCCUUCUCAGGGACAUCCUGAAACCCUUCAGCAUUUCUGGAGUGGCUGGGAUAGGGCUGGGAGACACACGCGUAAUUAGGGGAGGGGGCAGUGCAUGGUCACUGUCCAGCUUCUGGGCCCUAUUCUAGCUCCUGGGCCCUGAUAUGUUUCUCAGUCUACAGCCCCUAUGUGACCCCAAGGCUCUCUGGCAGGUGAAGUAGACAAGGACAGCAACAUAUUGCAACUACAGAAAAAAAGUGCUUUCCUUCAAUGUGAAGCCCACAAGCAGGAUAUCUUCUAUGCAGAGAGAAGCUCCAGGCUCUCCUCCCGACCCCCUGCUCUCCACCCAGCCUCCCAGACACAAAAUGACUGGCAUCCUAUAGGCAAAGCAGGUGAUGUGCUGCCCUAGCCCUACUCCUCACUAUCUCCUGCCUCCUUGCAAGCCUCCACCAUCCCAUAAACAUGCCAUGGUUCAUUCCACCUGCCUCCUCCCCUUUUGUUUCCAUGGUCUGGAUAAACUCAGGUCAAAGCACAAGGAGUCUGAAGCAAAAAGUGGAGAGGCCACUCAGGAGGGGUGUCAGGGUCACACUGAGGAAAACUGUUCAGUGAACUUAGACACCCUCCUCCCACCCUAAACACACAAUUGACUUCACACAUACACAUAAGUAUCGAUGCACACACAUGUAUGUGUUCACAUCACAGUCCCUCAAACACAUUGUACACAUAUGCAUGAUAACACAGGAAGAACAUGUACAGGCAUGCAUGUACAAACCAACUCAUGUGCAUACAAACUCACACCAGGCCUGAGGCUGCAGGAAUGGGAACUGUGGUCAUUUGAAUGAGACCAGCCUCCCCACAGGCUCGCAUAGUUGAAUGCUUUGUCACUAGGGAGUAGAACUCUCUGAUAGGAUUAGAAGGAGAUUUCAAAGGCCCAUGUCAGGUCCAGUGUCUCUCUGUCUUUCUGCCUACGGAUCAGGAUAUAGACUCUCAGAUGUUUCUCCAGCACCAUGUCUACCUGCAUGCUGCCAUGUUCCCUACCUUGAUAA